UACGUAGGUGGCAAGCGUUGUCCGGAUUUACUGGGCGUAAAGAGCGCGCAGGCGGUCGUACAAGUCGCGUGUGAAAGCCCCCGGCUCAACUGGGGAGGGUCACGCGAUACUGUUCGACUCGAAGGCAGGAGAGGGAAGCAGAAUUCCUGGUGUAGCGGUGAAAUGCGCAGAUAUCAGGAGGAACACCGGUGGCGAAGGCGGUUCUCUGGGCAUUACCUGACGCUGAGGAGCGAAA
rnacentral:rRNA from 1 species